GCAGAGGAAGUUGCAGUGGAAGAAAGAGGAGGAGAAGAGGAGGAGAAACACUCCUGAUCCGUCCGUUCCUGCUGGACACACUCAGAUGUCUGAAAGAGAGAAACAGGAGACCCUGCAGUCCCUCGAAGACACUCACAGGCCUCUGGUCAGUGAGCUGCAGUCUCUCCCCGUCAAAGCCGACACAAUGAGCGUUCGCUCUCGACACGCUCAACUCGCCCAGCGGCUCUCAGAGGUCGAGGAGGCCAUCAAAAUCUUCUCACGGGAUAAAGUCGACUCUUGAGAAACCACACUCAUAUCAAGCGGUUUCUUUUAUAUUUAUGCAUUUAUUAGUUAUUUGUUAAGAGCAGCAGCUGCUCUUUAGUUUCCUGAGUUCACUACAUUUGAACGCUUGACACUAUAAAGAGAUUUGUGACUAAA